UUAGGAAUAUUCGACAAUGGGGGAAACCCUGAUCGAGCGAUGCCGCGUGAGUGAUGAAGGUCCUUUGGAUUGUAAAACUCUGUUAUAUGGGAAGAACGACUAGAAUAGGAAAUGAUUCUAGUGUGACGGUACCAUGUCAGAAAGCUCCGGCUAACUACGUGCCAGCAGCCGCGGUAAUACGUAGGGAGCGAGCGUUAUCCGGAUUUAUUGGGCGUAAAGCGUGUGUAGGCGGUUUAUUAAGUAUAAGAUUAAAGCCUGGGGCUCAACUCCAGUUCGUCUUAUAAACUGGUAGACUUGAGUGUGGUAGAGGUAAAUGGAAUUUCUAGUGUAGCGGUAAAAUGCGUAGAUAUUAGAAGGAACAUCAGUGGCGAAGGCGAUUUACUGGGCCAUUACUGACGCUGAAACACGAAAGCGUGGGGAGCAAAUAGG
rnacentral:rRNA from 2 species